GAUGAACGCUGGCGGCGUGCCUAAUACAUGCAAGUCGAGCGAACAGAUGAGGAGCUUGCUCCUCUGACGUUAGCGGCGGACGGGUGAGUAACACGUGGAUAACCUACCUAUAAGACUGGGAUAACUUCGGGAAACCGGAGCUAAUACCGGAUAAUAUAUUGAACCGCAUGGUUCAAUAGUGAAAGACGGUUUUGCUGUCACUUAUAGAUGGAUCCGCGCCGCAUUAGCUAGUUGGUAGGGUAACGGCUUACCAAGGCAACGAUGCGUAGCCGACCUGAGAGGGUGAUCGGCCACACUGGAACGGAGACACGGUCCAGACUCCUACGGGAGGCAGCAGUGGGGAAUUUUGGACAAUGGGCGAAAGCCUGAUGCAGCCACGCCGCGUGGGUGAAGAAGGUCUUCGGAUUGUAAAGCUCUUUAAUUGGGGAGGAAAAAAAGUAAAGUAAAAUAUGCCGGUUUUGACGGUACCAAAAGAAAAAGCAACGGCUAACUUCGUG
rnacentral:rRNA from 1 species